ensembl:lncRNA
AGACCUCUCCCCCACCCCCCCCACCCCCGCCCCCGGAGGCUCAGGCUGCUGCAGGCAGGGUUGGCUUUGAAAACCACUGUCUUCUUUCUACUAAGCCUGGAAGGUCCUCAACACAGAGAAGACACUCAAGAAAUGCUACUUUAACCCCCAAGGACCCGAACCUGCUCCGGGAGGAUGUCCAAGUCCUGCCUCUUCCUGUCCUCCCUCUCUCCCCGCUCUCUUCCACCCGCAUGCAGGGAGAAAGGGGAGGAACUCUGAUCUGUGAGAUGCUGGUCACGCAGGACAGCAGAUCUGGGAGGGCUCACCUCCAGUGCCCCCAGGAUGACCAUGCCGAGUGUGAUCAGUGGAGAACAGCAGGUGGCACAAAUCAGAAACUCAGGAAAGCCUUCAUAGAGGUGAUCCCAAGCGCAGGAAAAAUCAGCAGACGGGCUACACAGGAAAUUUGGGCAAACCCCAGAGCUGCAGAACAAGAGGCCUUCGGGAACCAUCAGGACUUUGCUGAGCGCCGGACCUUGGCCCAGGAGAGGAGAGGAGAAGACAGGAGACCGGGCCAGGGCCUCAUCUGGAAGAGUGGUUCAAACUAGGAACCUGCUGGCUGGUGAUGAGUAUCGAAGCAUCCAGUGAAAAUCAGCUGUGGGUGAUACAGACCUUCCAUAGAUCCCAGCACAAGUCAUCUAAGCAAGCAAUCCCCGUAAGGCGUGAUCCUGGAUGAAGCACAAUUGGAAAAUUCACCCGCCAUCUUGUCACAUCGCUUUAGAUGACAAUGAAGACGCAUUAGGUUAAGUGUGUUAAUCAUACCUGUUGAAGCAAAACAGAGGCAGGUCCUCAGCUGUCCCUUCAGUCCGUGGAUGUGUGUUCAGGGUUCACUGCCAUACAGAGCUGUGACUGCUCUCUUCCCCCGGGGGCCUGAGGUGAAUACAUAGAUGGAGCCAUUCCUUGGUGUUGUGUGACUGUAAGGUGCAUUAGGGACCUACAGAGGCAGAUCCUAGUGUGCUCUGGACAAAAGAGGCCUGUCCUUUCUCAGAUCUUUGGGUCUGCUUUCCAUUGUAACCUAUAACUUGCCACACACUCAGCUUGGUUUCCCAAAGUCUUCUAUUUGCAAGUGCCUAAUAGUUGUUGAGAAUUUCUUAGGAGCCAGGUGCCCCAGUUAAGGCAAUCCCAAUCAUCUGUCAUAUAGUUCUCCCAAGAACUCCAUCGUCUUAUUUUGCACAUGAGAAUCCGAGACUCAGAGAGAGUAAGUUACUUGACCAAGGUUUACACAGCCAACCGGUGACAGAGCUAGGGUGAGGAAGGAGUGACUCUCGCAACCAUGAGACUGGAGGGACAAAGACGGUCUCCUCUGUUUGGCAGCUAGUUGACUUGGAGUAAGUGAUAGGAGAGGACAUGAGGUUUGUUGGGUGGGUCUGCAAGGCUAGGAAAGGCAUUUGAAGCUGCUGACUUCUUAGAGACUCACGGUCCCGAAUUCUAAAUGAAGUGUUAAAGUCUGGGGAUCAUCAACACUUGAUACAAGUCAGUAUGUGGAGGUGGGAAGAAUGGAAGGAUGUAUCCAGAGGUGGGGGCAGUGAGGCUCUCGCCUGUCUGGGA